AUGAGGCCCGGAGCCGAGUUCUUCGCCGUGAGCCACCUGGCGGGGGCGCCGACGGUGGCGCCGGCGCACGGGCUGAUCAACGGGACGGUGGCGCCACACUCGCCGUGGCAGUCGCCGGUGCCGUACCUCUUCGGCGGGCUGGCGGCCAUGCUGGGGCUCAUCGCCUUCGCGCUGCUCAUCCUCGCCUGCUCCUACUGGAAGCUCUCCGGGUACCUCGACGGCGACCGGGACGGCCAGGCGACGGGGGACGCCGACGGGGAGAAGGCCUCGGCGUCGGGCGCGGCCAGGCCGGCCAUGGAUUUCCUGGAGCACGUGGUGGUCAUCAUGGCCGGCGACGAGCGGCCCACGUUCCUCGCCAAGCCGGCCGCCAGCCGGGCUGCCGAGGUGGAGCUCGCAACCGCGGCCGCGGCAGCGAGCGCGCUCGCGGGCGGCGAGGGGCAAGAGAAGAAGGCGGACGAGCAGGGCAGCGAGGCGAGCUCGCAUCUCGGCGCUGACUCGGCGAGCCCGAGCCGUGAUCACCACGACGCGACGAGCCGGAGCCACGUCCAUGACCCAGACGCGGCGGGCCAGAGCCUCGACCACCACCACCAUGACCAAGACGCGGCGAGCCAGAGCAGCAGCACGACGGCCCUGCAAGAAAGCUCGCAAUAA
rnacentral:rRNA from 1 species